rnacentral:rRNA from 1 species
GAUCCUGGCUCAGGAUGAACGCUAGCGAUAGGCUUAACACAUGCAAGUCGAGGGGCAGCACGGUGUAGCAAUACACUGGUGGCGACCGGCGUACGGGUGCGUAACACGUAUGCAACCUACCCGCUAGUUGGGGGAUAACCCGGCGAAAGUCGGACUAAUACCCCAUAUUAUUCUUACCGGGCAUCCGGUAGGUCUGAAAGAUUUAUCGAUUGCGGAUGGGCAUGCGGAUGAUUAGCUAGUAGGUGGGGUAACGGCUCACCUAGGCGACGAUCAUUAGGGGUUCUGAGAGGAAGGUCCCCCACACUGGAACUGAGACACGGUCCAGACUCCUACGGGAGGCAGCAGUGAGGAAUAUUGGUCAAUGGGCGCUAGCCUGAACCAGCCAAGUCGCGUGAAGGAUGAACCAGAUCUAUGGUUUGUAAACUUCUUUUGCAGGGGAGUAAAGUGCGACACGUGUGUUGUAUUGCAAGUACCCUGCGAAUAAGCAUCGGCUAACUCCGUGCCAGCCGCCGC